AGUGGCGGACGGGUGAGUAACGCGUGAGGAUCUGCCUUGGGGUCGGGGACAACCACUGGAAACGGUGGCUAAUACCGGAUAAGCCGAUUGGUGAAAGAUUUAUUGCCCGAAGAGGAGCUCGCGUCUGAUUAGCUAGUUGGUGAGGUAAGAGCUCACCAAGGCAGCGAUCAGUAGCUGGUCUGAGAGGACGAUCAGCCACACUGGGACUGAGACACGGCCCAGACUCCUACGGGAGGCAGCAGUGGGGAAUUUUCCGCAAUGGGCGAAAGCCUGACGGAGCAAGACCGCGUGAGGGAGGAAGGCUCUUGGGUUGUAAACCUCUUUUCUCAGGGAAGAAGCUCUGACGGUACCUGAGGAAUCAGCCUCGGCUAACUCCGUGCCAGCAGCCGCGGUAAUACGGAGGAGGCAAGCGUUAUCCGGAAUUAUUGGGCGUAAAGCGUCCGCAGGUGGCGAUUCAAGUCUGCUGUCAAAGCACGGGGCUUAACUCCGUAAAGGCAGUGGAAACUGAAUAGCUAGAGUGCCGUAGGGGUAGAGGGAAUUCCCGGUGUAGCGGUGAAAUGCGUAGAGAUCGGGAAGAACAUCGGUGGCGAAAGCGCUCUACUGGACGGCAACUGACACUCAGGGACGAAAGCUAGGGGAGCGAAUGGGAUUAGAUACCCC
rnacentral:rRNA from 1 species